ACUAUACUCUCUUCAUUUGGAAUUACUUGUCGCAGAAAUGGAUAUAUCUAGACAUAUUUUAAUUCUAAAUACAUCUAUUUCCAAGACAAGUAAUUCCGAACGGAGGGAGUAGAUG
rnacentral:pre_miRNA from 1 species